GUCUCUGUGGCGCAAUUGGUUUGUGCAUUCGGCUGUUAACAGAGGGGUUGGUGGUUCGAGCCCACCCAGAGACU